GACGAACGCUGGCGGCGUGCUUAACACAUGCAAGUCGAACGAUGAACCACUUCGGUGGGGAUUAGUGGCGAACGGGUGAGUAACACGUGGGCAAUCUGCCCUUCACUCUGGGACAAGCCCUGGAAACGGGGUCUAAUACCGGAUAACGCUCUUGCUCUCAUGGGCAGGGGUUAAAAGCUCCGGCGGUGAAGGAUGAGCCC
rnacentral:rRNA from 1 species